rnacentral:rRNA from 1 species
CGGGGGGGGCAAGCGUUGUUCGGAAUUACUGGGCGUAAAGGGCUCGUAGGCGGCCAACUAAGUCAGACGUGAAAUCCCUCGGCUUAACCGGGGAACUGCGUCUGAUACUGGAUGGCUUGAGUUUGGGAGAGGGAUGCGGAAUUCCAGGUGUAGCGGUGAAAUGCGUAGAUAUCUGGAGGAACACCGGUGGCGAAGGCGGCAUCCUGGACCAACACUGACGCUGAGGAGCGAAAGCCAGGGGAGCAAACGGGAUUAGGUACCCCGGUAGUCCUGGCCCUAAACGAUGAAUGCUUGGUGUGACGGGUAUCGAUCCCUGUCGUGCCGAAGCUAACGCAUUAAGCAUUCCGCUUGGGGAGUACGGUCGCAAGGCUG